rnacentral:lncRNA from 1 species
UAUACUGCCUGAUCGAUUGACUCCGCUACAGCGCCAGUACUGCGUACAUACAAUUGUCGGCAAUACGAUGACAGCUUUCACAUUAAUUCUAUUCCACGCGUAGGAGGAGCUGCCGCGUGUCACCUUACCAAACAACAAUUUGGUAGACUAGAAAAAUACUAAAAAAGGUAAUUAGUGGCACAAAUUUGUUUAAACGGGGUAGGAUUUUAGAAAUUCACUUAAAUGGUCUAGAUUGUGUCAAAAAAAAUUAGAAAGAGAGGUAAAAAAAAAGAAUUCACUCUGUUCAAUAUUCUAUUGUAAGUAGAUGCCGGGC